AAAUCAGUUAUGGUUCACUAGAUCGUAUGAAUUACAUGGAUAACUGUGGUAAUUCUAGAGCUAAUACAUGCAACCAGCUCGGCUGCCUUGUGCAGCGAGCGCAGUUAUUAGAACAAAACCAAUCCGGCUUUGGUCGGUUGAUUGGUGACUCUGAAUAACCGAAGCAGAGCGCUAAGGUCUCGUACCGGCGCCAGAUCUUUCAAGUGUCUGACUUAUCAGCUUGUUGCGAGGUUAUGUUCCUCGCAAGGCGUUGACGGGUGACGGGGAAUCAGGGUCCGAUUCCGGAGAGGGAGCCUGAGAAACGGCUACCACAUCCAAGGAAGGCAGCAGGCGCGCAAAUUACCCACUCCCGGCACGGGGAGGUAGUGACGAAAAAUAACGAUGCGAGAGCUUUUAGCUUUUCGUAAUCGGAAUGGGUACACUUUAAAUCCUUUAACGAGGAUCUAUUGGAGGGCAAGUCUGGUGCCAGCAGCCGCGGUAAUUCCAGCUCCAAUANNGUAUAUUAAAGUUGCUGCGGUUAAAAAGCUCGUAGUUGGAUCCGGGCAGUCGACGCGCGGUGCGCCUUACGGCGUUACUGCGUGCUCGUCGCCACUAUCCGGCCUUGUCUUUCAUGUUCUUUACUGAGCGUGAUUGGCGACCGGGACGUUUACUUUGAAAAAAUUAGAGUGCUUAAAGCAGGCAUAUGGCCUUGCAUAAUGGUGCAUGGAAUAAUGGAAUAGGACCUCGGUUCUAUUUUGUUGGUUUUCGGAGCUCGAGGUAAUGAUUAAGAGGAACAGACGGGGACAUUCGUAUUGCGGCGUUAGAGGUGAAAUUCUUGGAUCGUCGCAAGAC
rnacentral:rRNA from 1 species